rnacentral:rRNA from 1 species
AUUGAACGCUGGCGGCACGCUUAACACAUGCAAGUCGAGCGAUGCUUUUGGAGUAGCUUGCUAUUUUAGAAGUAGAGCGGCGGACGGGUGAGUAAUGCGCAGGAAUCUACCUUGAAGUGGGGGAUAACACGGGGAAACUCGUGCUAAUACCGCAUAUUACCUGAGGGUAAAAGGUUGCGAAAGCAGCCGCUUUUAGAGGAGCCUGCGUUGGAUUAGCUUGUUGGUGGGGUAAAGGCCUACCAAGGCGAUGAUCCAUAGCUGGUCUGAGAGGACGAUCAGCCACACUGGGACUGAGACACGGCCCAGACUCCUACGGGAGGCAG